rnacentral:lncRNA from 1 species
UUCCUUUAUUGCACAUUUUCUAUUUAUAGCAAAUCACCAUAGCUUAGUGCAUGUAAUAGAUGCAGACAUGUUAACAUUCAGUGAUAAGUUCUCAAAAUCGAGUAUCAAUCUUAAUUAAGUUCUCAGCCCUUAUAAACACAUAGUAGGGUCGACUAGGUAGAUAAGGAGUUAUAACGGUAGGCACAGGGUGCCGAACGGUAGGCUCAGAGGCC